rnacentral:rRNA from 1 species
GACGAACGCUGGCGGCGUGCUUAACACAUGCAAGUCGAACGAAGUGGCGAACGGGUGAGUAACGCGUAAUCAACCUGCCCUUCAGAGGGGGACAACAGUUGGAAACGACUGCUAAUACCGCAUACUGAAGGAGGGGAUUGCGUCUGAUUAGCUAGUUGGAGGGGUAAUGGCCCACCAAGGCGAAGGUCAGUCGCCGGUCUUGGGAGAUUGACGGCCACCAUGGGACUGGGAAACGGCCCCGACCUCUACGGGAGGCAGCAGUGGGGGAUCUUCCGCAAUUGACGAAAGUCUGACGGAGCAACGCCGCGUGAGUGAUGACGGCCUUCGGGUUGUAAAGCUCUGUUAAUCGGGACGCGGUACCGGAAUAGAAAGCCACGGCUAACUACGUGCCAGCAGCCGCGGUAAUAU